AGAGUUUGAUCCUGGCUCAGAUUGAACGCUGGCGGCAGGCCUAACACAUGCAAGUCGAGCGGAAACGAGUUAUCUGAACCUUCGGGGAACGAUAACGGCGUCGAGCGGCGGACGGGUGAGUAAUGCCUAGGAAAUUGCCCUGAUGUGGGGGAUAACCAUUGGAAACGAUGGCUAAUACCGCAUAACACCUUCGGGUCAAAGAGGGGGACCUUCGGGCCUCUCGCGUCAGGAUAUGCCUAGGUGGGAUUAGCUAGUUGGUGAGGUAAUGGCUCACCAAGGCGACGAUCCCUAGCUGGUCUGAGAGGAUGAUCAGCCACACUGGAACUGAGACACGGUCCAGACUCCUACGGGAGGCAGCAGUGGGGAAUAUUGCACAAUGGGCGCAAGCCUGAUGCAGCCAUGCCGCGUGUGUGAAGAAGGCCUUCGGGUUGUAAAGCACUUUCAGUCGUGAGGAAGGUGGUAGUGUUAAUAGCACUAUCAUUUGACGUUAGCGACAGAAGAAGCACCGGCUAACUCCGUGCCAGCAGCCGCGGUAAU
rnacentral:rRNA from 1 species